rnacentral:rRNA from 1 species
GACGAACGCUGGCGGCGUGCUUAACACAUGCAAGUCGAACGGAAAGGUCCUGCUUUUGUGGGGUGCUCGAGUGGCGAACGGGUGAGUAACACGUGAGUAACCUGCCCUUGACUUUGGGAUAACUUCAGGAAACUGGGGCUAAUACCGGAUAGGAGCUCCUGCUGCAUGGUGGGGGUUGGAAAGUUUCGGCGGUUGGGGAUGGACUCGCGGCUUAUCAGCUUGUUGGUGGGGUAGUGGCUUACCAAGGCUUUGAUGGGUAGCCGGCCUGAGAGGGUGACCGGCCACAUUGGGACUGAGAUACGGCCCAGACUCCUACGGGAGGCAGCAGUGGGGAAUAUUGCACAAUGGGCGGAAGCCUGAUGCAGCAACGCCGCGUGCGGGAUGACGGCCUUCGGGUUGUAAACCGCUUUCGCCUGUGACGAAGCGUGAGUGACGGUAAUGGGUAAAGAAGCACCGGCUAACUACGUG